rnacentral:rRNA from 1 species
UACGUAGGGUGCGAGCGUUAAUCGGAAUUACUGGGCGUAAAGCGUGCGUAGGCGGUUCGUUAAGUUCGUUGUGAAAGCCCCGGGCUCAACCUGGGAAUGGCAAUGGAAACUGGCGGGCUUGAGUGUGGCAGAGGGGGGUGGAAUUCCGCGUGUAGCAGUGAAAUGCGUAGAGAUGCGGAGGAACACCGAUGGCGAAGGCAGCCCCCUGGGCCAACACUGACGCUCAGGCACGAAAGCGUGGGGAGCAAACAGG